rnacentral:rRNA from 1 species
CCUACGGGUGGCAGCAGUGAGGAAUAUUGGUCAAUGGACGCAAGUCUGAACCAGCCAUGCCGCGUGCAGGAUGACGGCUCUAUGAGUUGUAAACUGCUUUUGUACGAGGGUAAACCCCGAUACGUUUAUCGGGUUGAAAGUAUCGUACGAAUAAGGAUCGGCUAACUCCGUGCCAGCCGCCGCGGUAAUACGGAGGAUCCGAGCGUUAUCCGGAUUUAUUGGGGUGAAAGGGUGCGUAGGCGGUUUGAGAAGUUAGAGGUGAAAUGUCGGGGCUCAACCCCGAAACUUCCUCUAAUACGUGUGGACUAGAUAAUAGUGGCGGUAGGCGGAAUGUAUGGGGUAGCGGUGAAAUGCUUAGAGAUCAUACAGAACACCGAUUGCGAAGGCAGCUUACCAAACUAUAUCUGACGUUGGGGCACGAAAGCGUGGGUAGCAAACAGGAUUAGAUACCCCAGUAGU